UCGAACGAGAGAUGAGGAGCUUGCUCUUCAAAUCGAGUGGCGAACGGGUGAGUAACGCGUGAGGAACCUGCCUCAAAGAGGGGGACAACAGUUGGAAACGACUGCUAAUACCGCAUAAGCCCACGGCUCGGCAUCGAGCAGAGGGAAAAGGAGCAAUCCGCUUUGAGAUGGCCUCGCGUCCGAUUAGCUAGUUGGUGAGGUAACGGCCCACCAAGGCGACGAUCGGUAGCCGGACUGAGAGGUUGAACGGCCACAUUGGGACUGAGACACGGCCCAGACUCCUACGGGAGGCAGCAGUGGGGAAUAUUGCACAAUGGGGGAAACCCUGAUGCAGCGACGCCGCGUGGAGGAAGAAGGUCUUCGGAUUGUAAACUCCUGUUGUUGAGGAAGAUAAUGACGGUACUCAACAAGGAAGUGACGGCUAACUACGUGCCAGCAGCCGCGGUAAAACGUAGGUCACAAGCGUUGUCCGGAAUUACUGGGUGUAAAGGGAGCGCAGGCGGGAGAACAAGUUGGAAGUGAAAUCCAUGGGCUCAACCCAUGAACUGCUUUCAAAACUGUUUUUCUUGAGUAGUGCAGAGGUGGGCGGAAUUCCCGGUGUAGCGGUGGAAUGCGUAGAUAUCGGGAGGAACACCAGUGGCGAAGGCGGCCUACUGGGCACCAACUGACGCUGAGGCUCG
rnacentral:rRNA from 1 species